AUUUCAUAUGAGCUGUUGGCCUAUCGAACUGUGUUAAAACCAAGGACAAAACCAAGUUUUUGUUUUAUGCCCUCAUUUGCCAACCUCAAUGUGUCUGCAAUAUUUUAUCAAUACAGCAAUUAAGAGUCAGCUGAUCAGAUUCCAGUCACAUCUUCAGUAUUUUAUUUACUGGAGCGAGUCAGGAGAAAUGUCUCUACUGUCGUCUAUCCGCUGAUGUUCAGACUAGACAAUAUACGAAAAGGAAAAGAUGUUUACUUUCAUCACUAUGUCAAAUUUCUCCAAAUGACUUAAUAAAAAUGCCUUUGAAUAAAUGACAAGGCAUGUAUCACACAGUCCCAUAAACAAUUUAUGAUAGUGCACUUACAAAAGCCCCUCAGAAAGUUGUGUCUGCUGAAGCAAAUAAAGACACAGGCCAUAACCACUAAAACAUCAAUUCAUAUUCGAGUUUAUCUUUAUCAAUAUCUUUAUACUGAGUAAUGCACAUCAUUGACCAGGCUUUUUGUUUUGUGUCCUUUGGAAAGAUAAUAAUCUACACCAGCAAUCUGCGGAUCAUCCGGGCCUAUCAGAGUGAAGGAAGGACAUGGAGACAUCCUCAGCUCCCUGGGGGAAUGGGCGAGUACUCACAGGGAUACCCAAAGCCCUCUGUGCUCACAGGGAGGGGCAGAGCACCGAUCGACCGGACAAGCAAGAUGCUGCAUCCAGCUGCCAGCAUUGUGGAGGUUCGGGCUGUCCCCUGCUCUUUGUGCCAUGGCAGCUGUCCAUACUGGCCAACCGCUUCAACGAGUCUAUCAGUGUGCUGUGAUGCCAGUCCUGCUACUCUGAUGGACUGGAGAGGUGCCAGUCCUGUACCAAAUGACACCAACCACUGGCUGUGUGUGCCAAUGGUACUGCUGCCUGAGUGAGCGAGCUGAUCAAGGGGUCGAAAAUCUAGAUAUUGCCAGAUGUUCACGGUCCGAGGAACAGGCUGUGGAAGCUUAUUGCUGGAAAAAGUGGUCCAUAACCAGAGGUUAUAUCAGCUGUUUUGGUGAACCCCUCCCGCAUCUGAACUUGCUGACACAUAGGGCACAGCAUGAUCAUAGGUAUGUUUUGAUGUGAGAGAGGAAGCCAAUCCCGCCAUCGCCACCUUACCCGCUCUUAAGAUAACCUUAUGGCCAACUGGGGGCCCAAGGCUGGUUAGGAGACACCGCAAUUGUGAUGAACUGAGAGAAUAGUAGGGUCGCGCUGUAAUUCAAUGAAUCAUAUGCUGUCUGCUGCUGUUCUUACCUAUUUCCCUUUCUGUAUUCUACACCUCUCUCCCCACCUUGUCUUUCUUCCUUAUUUUAUAAUGCACACCAUAUGUGCAUUGAAGUACAGAUUGAACUUGUAUUUAUAAACAAUUGUUGGAAAAAUUACUUCUGUCAUGCAGAAAGUAGAUGUCCUAACCUACCAAAAGUAUAGUUUGUUAACAAGAAAUUUGUGGAGUGGUUGAAAAACAAGUUUUAAUGACUCCAACCUAAGUGUAUGUAAACUUCCGACUUCAACUGUAAAUUACUUCCAGACUAGAGAAAGUUAUUUUUCUCACUAUAUGUUUACUGCUGUAUGUUUAAAAAGCUUAUCCACGCAUGACUUGCUGAUGUGGUAUGAGGCCACACACUGGACACAUCUGUAACGAAAUUCGUCUUCCUCUGACGAGGAGUAUGAAGGAUCGGACCAAUAUGCAGCGUGGUACGUGUCCAAGUUGAUAAUUUAUUAACAUUGAACACCAAAAACAAAAUAACAAGUAGAACGAACGAAAACGAAACAGUUCUGUCUGGUAAUUAUACAGAGACAGAAACAAUCACCCACAACUAAAAAGGGUGAAAACAGGCUACCUAAGUAUGAUUCUCAAUCAGAGACAACAAACGACACCUGCCUCUGAUUGAGAACCAUACCAGGCCAAACACAUAAACACAACAAAGAAAAAAGAACAUAGACUACCCACCCCAACUCACGCCCUGACCAAACUAACACAAAGACAUAAAUAAAGGAACUAAGGUCAGAACGUGACAACAUCUGCUGAUAAUCAUGUUGGCAAAUUUAUAUAGCGAGAUGUAUAACCUUCUGAAGUAUCACUAGGGGACAGGCUGAGUGGCCGCGCAUCUUCCUCAGCUCUACCUCUCCUGUCAGUUAUGAUAUGAACUAGCAAUGAAUGCAUUUAGACAUGUAUAGAGGCUACAAUACCAUGCUCUGAGACACCAUGCCAGAUAUAUUCACCAGGCAACAGGGUGUGGAAUAAGGGUUUAUUUGACAAACAUAUGUGACUGUGCUGCCAUCCUGUUAGAAGGUAACAGAUUAUUUUAUUUACAAUGGUUAAAUUGAAUUUUCAUUGUGUUCAAUGGUGUUAUUUGCCCCCUAGUGGCGCUUUCUGGUACUUAGAAAGACAACGCAAACGGGAAGUUCAGAAUUUGUUUUGCACGCAUAGAAGCAGCUACAAACAACGCUACGGUGCAGGUCUUUCAAUGUAGUUAUUUCUUGUCACGCUUCAGCCUUGGAAAAAUAUUUGUUUGUAAGUUCGAUUCAAGCAUUUAGCUAAUGAUGAUAAUAUUGUUAUUGAUAGAGUUUCUUACAUAUCAAUGUUGGUUGCAUUUACUCACAAAUUGCAAUGCCUUUAAUGUAUGUCGUUAGCUGUAUUACUUUGCUCAUGCAAACGAAUUGUAAAAUAUACAAUACUGUAGUUUUGUUACUGUUUCUAGUGUAAUAUGCUUUGUUAUUCUACAUAGAUGGUUAUACAUUAUUAGAGUAAUGAAAGGAGCAAUUACCAUAUGGUUAACAAUUAGCUAUAUGGUUUGGCAUCAUGCCAGAUGCAUGGUACCUUAGCGCGUGCUUUGUAUUUAUGCAACUUCAAAUGUUUAAUGUACAGCUACAGUAUGUCGGUGUGAAUUGAACACUAAAGUAUAUUCUUUUCUGUAUUUUGCAGUUUCACAACAUAAACGUUUCAAUAUAUUCAUUCAAGAAAA